CCGGGAUAGCCCAGGGAAACCUGGAUUAAUACCGGAUGAGACGGGACCCGCGAUGGCGGGAUCCGGGAAAGGCGCUGCGGCGCCGCCGGGGGAUGAGUCUGCGUCCCAUUAGCUAGACGGCGGGUAACGGCCCACCGUGGCGACGAUGGGUAGCCGGCCUGAGAGGGUGGACGGCCACAUUGGAACUGAGACACGGUCCAGACUCCUACGGGAGGCAGCAGCUAAGAAUCUUCCGCAAUGGGCGAAAGCCUGACGGAGCGACGCCCGCGUGAACGAAGAAGGCCGUGAGGUUGUAAAGUUCUUUUCGGGAGGGGGAACAACCGUGGCAGGGAAUGGCCGCGGGUAUGACGUGAAUCCCGGAAUAAGCCCCGGCUAACUACGUGCCAGCAGCCGC
rnacentral:rRNA from 1 species